rfam:Ovis aries breed Texel chromosome 12, whole genome shotgun sequence.
UCCCUGGUGGCUCAGAGGUUAAAGCGUCUGCCUCCAAUGCAGGAGACCUGGGUUCGAUCCCUGGGUUGGGAA